rnacentral:rRNA from 1 species
AGUGAGAUUGAACUAUUCAGCUGAUCGCACGGUCUAUGAACCGGCGACAUAUCCUUCAAAUGUCUGCCUUAUCAACUUUCGAUGGUAGAUUAUGCGCCUACCAUGGUUGUAACGGGUAACGGAGAAUCAGGGUUUGAUUCCGGAGAGGGAGCCUGAGAAAUGGCUACCACAUCC